AUGACAUUGUCGGAAGGAAUGCUUUAUAUGUUUUUGUGGCGCUUACAUGUAAGCCUUGGAAUAUCUUAUAUGUUUAUGGUUGACUCGCUGUUGUGUUGUAUGUUCUUGAUGAAUAUAGUACUUUCUGCUCUUGAAUGUUUUCAUAGGAGUCGGUACUGGUACUUAUGUCACUUUACACUGGCAAUCUCAGUUGUUAGACAGGUUUCCCAUCUAGUUCACAUGAUCUGCCUAGAUUCAAAAAUGGGCAUAUUGCCUUUCCCAGCCCAUGUUAUUUUGCUCCAACCUGGAAGAACAUGGGCACAUGGCAUUUUUCUCCUCGGACUUCUAGUUCUCUUGCGAAUGUAA